UUCUUCGGGGCAGGGUGUGAUUCCCUACCGGCGGUAAUAGUCCGCGACCCGCUAUGGCGGCUGAUUUGGUGCGAUUCCAAAACCGACAGUAUAGUCUGGAUGAGAGAAGAA
rnacentral:ncRNA from 1 species